CGAGGGGCAGCGGGGUAGUAAGCUUGCUUACUACUGCCGGCGACCGGCGCACGGGUGAGUAACACGUAUGCAACCUGGCCGUCACAGAGGGAUAACCGGGAGAAAUCCCGCCUAAUACCGCAUAAUACCGGGGAAGGACAUCCUUUCCCGGUCAAAGGAGCGAUCCGGUGACGGAUGGGCAUGCGCCGCAUUAGUUAGUUGGCGGUGUAACGGACCACCAAGACGACGAUGCGUAGGGGUUCUGAGAGGAAGGUCCCCCACACUGGUACUGAGACACGGACCAGACUCCUACGGGAGGCAGCAGUGAGGAAUAUUGGUCAAUGGGCGAGAGCCUGAACCAGCCAAGUCGCGUGAGGGAAGACGGUCCUAUGGAUUGUAAACCUCUUUUGCCGGGGAGCAAAAAGCGGUACGUGUACCGCAUCGAGAGUACCCGGAGAAAAAGCAUCGGCUAACUCCGUGCCAGCAGCCGCGGUAAUACGGAGGAUGCGAGCGUUAUCCGGAUUUAUUGGGUUUAAAGGGUGCGCAGGCGGCGAGUUAAGUCAGCGGUAAAAUUUCGGGGCUCAACCCCGACGAGCCGUUGAAACUGGCUUGCUAGAGUGGGCGAGAAGUAUGCGGAAUGCGUGGUGUAGCGGUGAAAUGCAUAGAUAUCUUGCAGAACUCCGAAUGCUAAUGGCAGCAUCCCGGCGCCCNNCUGNCGCUCNGGCNCGNNNGCNUGGGUAGCUUCUUUUUAGGGGGUNNCCNNNNNNNUCCNCNCAANNNNNCGGACCCUUUAAUGGAUAGNNNUNNNNANUGAGGGCAUCGAAAAUACAGCGAAAGCGUUAAGUGCUCCACCUGGGGAGUACGCCGGCAACGGUGAAACUCAAAGGAAUUGACGGGGGCCCGCACAAGCGGAGGAACAUGUGGUUUAAUUCGAUGAUACGCGAGGAACCUUACCCGGGCUCAAACGCGGCGUGAAUACUUUUGAAAGGAGGUAGUCAGCAAUGACACGCCGCGAGGUGCUGCAUGGUUGUCGUCAGCUCGUGCCGUGAGGUGUCGGCUUAAGUGCCAUAACGAGCGCAACCCCUACCGUCAGUUGCCAUCAGGUAAAGCUGGGGACUCUGACGGGACUGCCGGCGCAAGCUGUGAGGAAGGCGGGGAUGACGUCAAAUCAGCACGGCCCUUACGUCCGGGGCGACACACGUGUUACAAUGGCAGGUACAGCGGGAAGCCACCUGGCGACAGGGCGCGGAACCCGAAAACCUGUCUCAGUUCGGAUUGGAGUCUGCAACCCGACUCCAUGAAGCUGGAUUCGCUAGUAAUCGCGC
rnacentral:rRNA from 1 species